rnacentral:rRNA from 1 species
AUUAUAAAAAUAUAAUUAAAUAUUUCUGGAUUAUUAGUAAUUAUUUAUAUGAAAUUUAAAUAAUUUGGCGGUAUUUUAGUCUAUUCAGAGGAAUUUGUUCUAUAAUCGAUAAUCCGCGUUAAAUCUUACUUAUUUUAUUUAAUUUGUAUAUCGUUGUCAUUAGAAUAUUUUAUAAGAAAAAUAAUUUUCUUUAAAUUAAAAUAAAUUUAUAUGUCAAAUCAAGGUGCAGUGUAUAUUUAAGUAGAAAUGAAUUACAAUAAGAUUUAAUUAAAUGAAUAAAUAAUUGAAAUAUUAUUUUGAAAGUGGAUUUGAUAGUAAAAUUAAUUAGACUGUUAAUUUGAUUAUAGCUCUAAAAUAUGUAC